rnacentral:rRNA from 1 species
GACGAACGCUGGCGGCGUGCUUAACACAUGCAAGUCGAACGAGAGCGUAGAGAAAGCUUGCUUUUUCUACAAUCUAGUGGCAAACGGGUGAGUAACGCGUAAACAACCUGCCCUACGGAUGGGGACAACAGCUGGAAACGGCUGCUAAUACCGAAUACGUUCCGAAAGUCGCAUGACUAUCGGAAGAAAGGAUGGCCUCUAUUUAUAAGCUAUCGCCGGAGGAGGGGUUUGCGUCUGAUUAGCUAGUUGGAGGGGUAACGGCCCACCAAGGCGACGAUCAGUAGCCGGUCUGGGAGGAUGAACGGCCACAUUGGAACUGAGACACGGUCCAGACUCCUACGGGAGGCAGCAGUGGGGAAUCUUCCGAAAUGGGCGAAAGCCUGACGGAGCAACGCCGCGUGAGUGAAGACGGCCUUCGGGUUGUAAAGCUCUGUUAUACGGGACGAAUAAUCUUGUGGUUAAUACCCAUGAGAAGUGACGGUACCGUAAGAGAAAGCCACGGCUAACUACGUG